GAUGAAGAACGUAGCGAAAUGCGAUACGUAAUGUGAAUUGCAGAUUUCAGUGAAUCAUCGAAUCUUUGAACGCACAUUGCGCCCGCUAGUAUUCUGGCGGGCAUGCCUGUUCGAGCGUCAUUUCAACCAUCAAGCCCUAGGCUUGCGUUGGAGCCCUGCGGCUGCCGCAGGCUCCCAAAUCCAGUGGCGGGCUCGUCGUCGUACCGAGUGCAGUAAACAUCCUCGCUCAGGGAACGUGACGGGUUCUUGCCGUGAAACCCCCCACAUAUCAAGGUUGACCUCGGAUCAGGUAGGAAUACCCGCUGAACUUAAGCAUAUCAUAAGCGGAGGA
rnacentral:misc_RNA from 1 species